rnacentral:tRNA from 1 species
GGUCCCUUAGCUCAGCUGGUAGAGCAACUGACUCUUAAUCAGUGGGUCAAAGGUUCGAAUCCUUUAGGGAUCACCA